GGACACAACACACAGCGCGCGGUCCAAACCUUCGGAGGGCAUUCGGUGCGACGGCAUCCCCACGCCGCGGCCGGCCGGAGGGGGCCUCAGACAACACGAUGCCUGGAUCACAGUGAAAAGGGCCUUGCCCUGGCCGAACACAAGGAUCCACCCCUUUCGUCAACCUGUCUCAAGUAAACUCGAGGGACAGAUUCAUGGGGAACCAGAUGGACAGAUGGACGAGAGCCAUCCAGAUGAUCACAGACCACAUUAGCGUUUAAACCUCAAAAAUGAGGAUCAUACUCCUCGCUUCUCCUGAGCGUAACAUUCCUGGACACGGAGCAUGAGGGAAUCUACACAUCUCAGGCCACGAAGAGAAGGCAGAAGACAAGCCGCUGACACAAACCCCACCUGUAACACAGCUCCACCAAUGUCCACACCAGAUCCUGUUCCCAUGAACUCAGAGCACAAGGCAGCUACUGAGGCAACCAGCACACAGGACUGAUGAGGCCUUUGAGAAGUGACCUUUGAAGAGAUGAUUGAGGAGAAGGGGUCAAUUGUGAAAGAUCUGAGGAAAGAAUUUUCAGACAUGGAGACAGAAAAGGGAAGAUCUUGGGCCUCCUUAGGACACACUUCUGCGUGCUCCCAGCUGCCCACUAACUCCAGUGCAUCCCCAGAACCCUGACCCAGGCAACUCCAGGGGCCCCAGGACCACCCUACCUGUGCAACCUGCAAAGAGGAUCGUGACGAGGACUUCUCGUCCCGACAACAGAGCUACUGCAAAUUCUCAUCCAUUGCCCCGUCUCACUCUCAGUACCAUCCUGCGAGGUGGGAGUCAGCAUCCCUAUUUGCAGAUAAGCCAGCUGCAUCUCAGAGAGGGGCUAGGUAUCCUCUUCACCCCACACCCACGGGACCCAGCAUAACGCCCAGCCUCCCGACCUCGGGCCAUCUGUCCAUCUGUCCACCCUUCCACCCUAGGUGUAGUCAGCACCUCAAAGCUUUAGGGUCUGGGACUCUCCACCACCAGGCCCCAGGGGCACGUGUUGUCCAUCACUGUUUUCAUCAGAUUCUGGAAGAAUUAGAACAGCUAGGA